rnacentral:rRNA from 1 species
CCUACGGGAGGCAGCAGUGAGGAAUAUUGGUCAAUGGACGAGAGUCUGAACCAGCCAAGUAGCGUGAAGGAUGACUGCCCUAUGGGUUGUAAACUUCUUUUAUAUGGGAAUAAAAUGUUCCACGUGUGGGAUUUUGUAUGUACCAUAUGAAUAAGGAUCGGCUAACUCCGUGCCAGCAGCCGCGGUAAUACGGAGGAUCCGAGCGUUAUCCGGAGUUAUUGGGUUUAAAGGGAGCGUAGGUGGAUUGUUAAGUCAGUUGUGAAAGUUUGCGGCUCAACCGUAAAAUUGCAGUUGAAACUGGCAGUCUUGAGUACAGUAGAGGUGUGCGGAAUUCGUGGUGUAGCGGUGAAAUGCUUAGAUAUCACGAAGAACUCCGAUUGCGAAGGCAGUUCACUGGACUGCAACUGACACUGAGGCUCGAAAGUGUGGGUAUCAAACAGGAUUAGAUACCCCUGUAGUC